rnacentral:rRNA from 1 species
AUUGAACGCUGGCGGCAUGCUUUACACAUGCAAGUCGAACGGCAGCGCGGGCUUCGGCCUGGCGGCGAGUGGCGAACGGGUGAGUAAUACAUCGGAACGUGCCCAGUAGUGGGGGAUAGACCGGCGAAAGCCGGAUUAAUACCGCAUACGACCUGAGGGAGAAAGCGGGGGAUCUUCGGACCUCGGGCUACUGGAGCGGCCGAUGGGAGGUUGGCCAGUUGGUGGGGUAAAGGCCUAGCAAGGCGACGAUCUUGAGAUGGUCUGAGAGGACGACCGGCCACACUGGGACUGGGACACGGCCCAGACUCCUACGGGAGGCAGCAGUGGGGAAUGUUGGACAAUGGGCGAAAGCCUGAUCCAGCAAUGCCGCGUGUGUGAUGAAGGCCUUCGGGUUGUAAAGCACUUUUGGCGGGAACGAAAAGGACUGUGCCAAUACCGCGGUUCGAUGACGGUACCCGCAGAAUAAGCACCGGCUAACUACGUG